GCGCACCAGGCGCGAAAACUCCGCAAUACACGAAAGUGUGACGGGGCUAUCCCGAGUGCCGUCCGCUGAGGAUGGCUUUUCCCCAGUGUAGACAGCUGGGGGAAUAAGGAGAGGGCAAGUCUGGUGUCAGCCGCCGCGGUAAUACCAGCUCUUCGAGUGGUAGGGAUGUUUAUUGGGCCUGAAGCAUCCGUAGCCGGCUGAGCAAGUUCUCUGUUAAAUCCAGCGAUUUAAUCGUUGGAUUGCGGGGAAUACUGUUCGGCUUGGGGGCGGGAGAGGCCGUCGGUAUUCUCAGGGUAGGGGUGAAAUCCUAUAAUCCCGGGAAGACCAGCAGUGGCGAAGGCUGUCGGCUAGAACGCGCCCGACGGUGAGGGAUGAGAGCUGGGGGAGCGAACCGGAUUAGAUACCCGGGUAGUCC
rnacentral:rRNA from 1 species